CCAGCAAUGCCGAUGACCACGGUUGUUGUUAGCUGCUGUCCAACAGGCUCCGAAUCAUGGCGGCCUCACGUACAGCAGAAUAACGUCGCCCGGUCCUGCACCAUCUUCAUGAUCGUUGUGGUGCUUAUCUGAAGUCUAGUGGGGAUGUUACUGAGGAGACAAACACGGACAAUUCCAGAAGCUAAUGAGAGGAGAUUGAAGGGGAAGCAGGUGCUACAGAGUCCCAAACCCAGAAAGAGAUCCACUGGUACCACUUGGAGAAAGAAGGGACAACGGCAUCUUGAUAGCUGAGGCACCCUCAGAUCUACGGAUACAUUUAUUGACCAACCCUUUAAGCAAAUUGCCUUGAUUAAAUAGUCCUCAGUUACUACCACCAGAAUCUGAUCUCUACAAACAUGCUGUUGUGCAAAAUACGAAAAUAUGUACAAAAACAUCAAAGUCAAUUAUACAUCAAACGGAAAAAAAAUCUGAUUCUUCUUGAAGUGAUGACAAUACAUCAAAAUGCUUC